rnacentral:rRNA from 1 species
CCUGGCGGCAGCCUACACAUGCAGUCGAGCGGAACGACUUAUCUGAACCUUCGGGGAACGAUAAGGGCGUCGAGCGGCGGACGGGUGAGUAAUGCCUAGGAAAUUGCCCUGAUGUGGGGGAUAACCAUUGGAAACGAUGGCUAAUACCGCAUGAUGCCUACGGGCCAAAGAGGGGGACCUUCGGGCCUCUCGCGUCAGGAUAUGCCUAGGUGGGAUUAGCUAGUUGGUGAGGUAAUGGCUCACCAAGGCGACGAUCCCUAGCUGGUCUGAGAGGAUGAUCAGCCACACUGGAACUGAGACACGGUCCAGACUCCUACGGGAGGCAGCAGUGGGGAAUAUUGCACAAUGGGCGCAAGCCUGAUGCAGCCAUGCCGCGUGUGUGAAGAAGGCCUUCGGGUUGUAAAGCACUUUCAGUCGUGAGGAAGGUGGUGUAGUUAAUAGCUACAUUAUUUGACGUUAGCGACAGAAGAAGCACCGGCUAACUCCGUGCCAGCAGCCGCGGUAAUACGGAGGGUGCGAGCGUUAAUCGGAAUUACUGGGCGUAAAGCGCAUGCAGGUGGUUUGUUAAGUCAGAUGUGAAAGCCCGGGGCUCAACCUCGGAAUAGCAUUUGAAACUGGCAGACUAGAGUACUGUAGAGGGGGGUAGAAUUUCAGGUGUAGCGGUGAAAUGCGUAGAGAUCUGAAGGAAUACCGGUGGCGAAGGCGGCCCCCUGGACAGAUACUGACACUCAGAUGCGAAAGCGUGGGGAGCAAACAGGAUUAGAUACCCUGGUAGUCCACGCCGUAAACGAUGUCUACUUGGAGGUUGUGGCCUUGAGCCGUGGCUUUCGGAGCUAACGCGUUAAGUAGACCGCCUGGGGAGUACGGUCGCAAGAUUAAAACUCAAAUGAAUUGACGGGGGCCCGCACAAGCGGUGGAGCAUGUGGUUUAAUUCGAUGCAACGCGAAGAACCUUACCUACUCUUGACAUCCAGAGAACUUUCCAGAGAUGGAUUGGUGCCUUCGGGAACUCUGAGACA